rnacentral:rRNA from 1 species
CUUUCUUUGCUGGCGACCGGCGCACGGGUGAGUAACACGUAUCCAACCUUCCCUUUACUCGGGGAUAGCCUUUCGAAAGAAAGAUUAAUACCCGAUAGCAUAAUGAUUCCGCAUGGUUUCAUUAUUAAAGGAUUCCGGUAAAGGAUGGGGAUGCGUUCCAUUAGGUUGUUGGUGAGGUAACGGCUCACCAAGCCUUCGAUGGAUAGGGGUUCUGAGAGGAAGGUCCCCCACAUUGGAACUGAGACACGGUCCAA